GAUGAACGCUGGCGGCGUGCUUAACACAUGCAAGUCGAACGAAGCAUUUAGAACGGAUUACUUCGGUUUGAAGUUCUUUAUGACUGAGUGGCGGACGGGUGAGUAACGCGUGGGUAACCUGCCUUGUACUGGGGGAUAGCAGCUGGAAACGGCUGGUAAUACCGCAUAAGCGCACAAUGUUGCAUGACAUGGUGUGAAAAACUCCGGUGGUAUAAGAUGGACCCGCGUCUGAUUAGCUAGUUGGUGAGAUAACAGCCCACCAAGGCGACGAUCAGUAGCCGACCUGAGAGGGUGACCGGCCACAUUGGGACUGGGACACGGCCCAGACUCCUACGGGAGGCAGCAGUGGGGAAUAUUGCACAAUGGAGGAAACUCUGAUGCAGCGACGCCGCGUGAGUGAAGAAGUAAUUCGUUAUGUAAAGCUCUAUCAGCAGGGAAGAUAGUGACGGUACCUGACUAAGAAGCUCCGGCUAAAUACGUGCCAGCCGCCGCCUAA
rnacentral:rRNA from 1 species